UUCAUACAAUACACCUCAGAAAACUUCUCGGCAUAAAGUGGCAGGACAGGAUCCUGGACACUGAGGUACUAAUAUGGAAAACACUUGCCCAAGGUGU